UACAGAGGGGGCAAGCGUUGUUCGGAAUUACUGGGCGUAAAGGGCGCGUAGGCGGCCCGCUAAGUCGAACGUGAAAUCCCCGAGCUCAACUCGGGAACUGCGUCCGAUACUGGCGGGCUUGAAUCCGGGAGAGGGAUGCGGAAUUCCAGGUGUAGCGGUGAAAUGCGUAGAUAUCAGGAAGAACACCCGUGGCUAAGGCGGCUCUCUAGUACGGUACUGACGCUGAGGCACGAAAGCGUGGGGAGCAAACAGG
rnacentral:rRNA from 1 species